CACGUAGGGGGCAAGCGUUGUCCGGAAUUACUGGGCGUAAAGGGAGUGCAGGCGGUUUGCGUAAGUUAGGCGUGAAAGACUUCGGCUAAACCGGGGGAGGUCGUCUGAUACUGCGUAACUAGAGUGUGGUAGAGGCGUGUAGAAUUCCGGGUGUAGUGGUGAAAUGUCGUAGAGAUCCGGAGGAAUACCAGUGGCGAAGGCGGCACGCUGGGCCAUAACUGACGCUAAGACUCGAAAGCAUGGGUAGCCGAACGGG
rnacentral:rRNA from 1 species